rnacentral:misc_RNA from 1 species
CCUUACAUUUCUCUCGAUUCUCUGGUACCGAAUUUUUUUCCCUUUCUUUUUAGGGUUUCAUAAUGGUUUAUUUGAUUUUUAAGUUCAAUAGAAAAAUGAUGCCAAUCAUCUAGUACGUAAAGAGUAUUAUUUCUAUAUGACGUUCAUUUUGGUUUGUUUAUAUGUAGUAGUGUCAGUUUGCUGGACUUGUGAAUUGAGUGCAUAGAUUCUUGUUUAAUUUCCUUAAUCCUUUUUGUGCCUUACGGUUGUUCGCAUGGUCCAAUUGUUUAAAAUUGGUGAUCUUGUAUUGUUGUUUUGAUGGAAGUUGUUUUGAUAAGGUAAUGUGCCCCCUUGGAUACUCCUUGCCUUAGCUAGCUUUUUUAGUGUGAGUUAGACCGGCCUAUUUUCAUAAUAUGGUAUCAAAGCCUCCAACCGAUUCUCAUGUAUUUGAUCUGGGUAUUUGUUUGGGAUAGGGUAAUUUGUAUAAGGUCUUGGACACUCCUCGAGCGAGGUGAAUUAUAUCUUACCCAUUUUCUUAAAAAAGAAUUCUAGUGUUAUAAUGUAUAUCCUUUUUCUUUUUCCGAAUUUGGUGAUAUUGUAAUGAAGGCUCUUUUUAUACCAUGAUUGCACAAUAUCGAUAUUGUAUUAUAUGUUUAGUUAUGUUGUAUAGCUUUGAAGUUUUUAUGAGCAGAGAUUGUAGAUAGGCAAACUUAUGAUUUUUUUUUAUUAUACUUUUAGAUACUACCAUUCUCUUUUUUCCUCUUCCUCUACAUGAUUUGAAAGCAUUUAUGGUACUUUUCUGAUUAAAAUGAAGUGAUAUAAUAAUUGUAGGGGUGGCAUAGGGAAGGGAGAAAGACUACUCUCUUUAUACAGCUUAGCUUCAUUGACCUUCCAAACUACCAAAAACAAUGAAGCGUUACUCCCCUCGGCCCGUUUCAAGUGAUGUUUUAGAAAUUUUUUUUUUGUCCCACUUUAUUUGCCAUUUUAGAAAAUUAAUAAAGUAUUAAUUUUUCUUUCUAACUUUACCCUUAUCUAUUAUUUUUCUUAGUGCAUUUAUUUCUUUUGAUCACUUUUCUACAUUCCGACGUAUUUCAAGAAUAAUUUAGUCAAUUAUUAGUACUUUUUUUGUAAAAUGAGGCUAUCAAAUUAUUUUCUUAAUCCUUAUGCAAAAACCUUAGAAAGCACUUGAAAUGGUAUGGAGGGGAAAGCACUUGAAAUGUUAUGGAGGGAAUAUCACAUUUCAUAUUAAAUGGAGGUUUGUAUUUUAGGUUUGAAUUUUUGCAUGUGAGUUUAAACAUCAUAAGGGAACCCAGGAGGAAAAGAAAUUUAAGGAAGAAAUGGACAAAAAAUAUUUAAUAAUUUGGUUCCAUCUUCUCCUUUCAGUCUUUCACUCUACAAAAUUUCUGAUCAAUUUAUUUAGCACAAUUUAUUAAAGCCAGAUGGUUGAAAUGGAGACGUGCCACGGGAUUUUUAUGUGAUUGUAAGAUUCCUAAUAAGUUGAAAGGA